GAUGAACGCUGACAGAAUGCUUAACACAUGCAAGUCAACUGUGGCGGACGGGUGAGUAACGCGUAAAGAACUUGCCUCCCAGAUAGGGACAACAUUUGGAAACGAAUGCUAAUACCUGAUACUGUGAGAGAGCUUUGCGUCCCAUUAGCUAGUUGGAGAGGUAACGGCUCACCAAGGCGAUGAUGGGUAGCCGGCCUGGGAGGGUGAUCGGCCACAAGGGGACUGGGAAGCGGCCCUUACUGCUAAGGGAGGAAGGAGUGGGGAAUAUUGGACCAUGGACCAAAGUCUGAUCCAGCAAUUCUGUGUGCACGAUGAAGUUUUCGGAAUGUAGAGGGCUUUCAGUUGGGAAGCGGUACCAACAGAAGAAGUGACGGCUAACUACGUGCCAGCAGCCGCGGUAAUAC
rnacentral:rRNA from 1 species